GACGAACGCUGGCGGCGUGCUUAACACAUGCAAGUCGAACGGUGAAGGGAUCAGCUUGCUGGUUCUGGAUGAGUGGCGAACGGGUGAGUAACACGUGAGUAACCUGCCCCCUUCUUCUGGAUAACCGCAUGAAAGUGUGGCUAAUACGGGAUAUUCUGGGUCUGUCGCAUGAUGGGUCUGGGAAAGAUAUUGUUUCGGUGGGGGAUGGGCUCGCGGCCUAUCAGCUUGUUGGUGGGGUGAUGGCCUACCAAGGCGGUGACGGGUAGCCGGGCUGAGAGGGUGGACGGUCACACUGGGACUGAGACACGGCCCAGACUCCUACGGGAGGCAGCAGUGGGGAAUAUUGCACAAUGGGCGCAAGCCUGAUGCAGCGACGCCGCGUGAGGGAGGGAGGCCUUCGGGUUGUAAACCUCUUUCGCCAGUGAAGCAGGCCUGCUCCGUGUGGGUGGGUUGACGGUAGCUGGAGAAGAAGCGCCGGCUAACUACGUG
rnacentral:rRNA from 1 species